AGCAGCCGCGGUAAUUCCAGCUCCAAUAGCGUAUAUUAAAGUUGUUGCAGUUAAAAAGCUCGUAGUUGAAUUUCGGGAUUGACGUAAUGGUCAUGCCUUAAGGGGUAUGAACUGUUACUGUUGAUUUCUCACCUUCUGGAAAAACUUGAUGUCCUUAAUUGGGUGUCUUGCGGAUCCAGGACCUUUACCUUGGAAAAAUUAGAGUGUUUAAAGCAGGCAUUUUGCUCGAAUACAUUAGCAUGGAAUAAUAGAAUAGGACGGCAUGGUUCUAUUUUGUUGGUUUCUAGGAUCACCGUAAUGAUUAAUAGGGAUAGUUGGGGGCAUUAGUAUUCAAUUGUCAGAGGUGAAAUUCUUGGAUUUAUUGAAGACUAACUACUGCGAAAGCAUUUGCCAAGGAUGUUUUCAUUAAUCAAGAACGAAAGUUAGGGAUCGAAGACGAUCAGAUACCGU
rnacentral:rRNA from 1 species